AGUAGAUAACCUGAACUGAUAAUCAGAUCUGACAGGAGCCUGGAAAAAUAACUUUUUUUCUUGUGAACUGUGAAGAAACCUGGAGUUCACAUCAAACAACGUCCUUAAACGCAGUCUGACGUGUCAGCCACGGAUCAGUGGCCAGCAAUCUCACCUCUGGGUCAGAAGUCUUUGGCUCAAGUCCCAGCCAAAGACUUGAGCACGAGAUGCAGGCUGAUACUUCAGAGCAACAUGGAGGAAGAGCUGUGUUACCUCAUGGGUCCUGAGCACGCGGUCAGAGCAAGCAAGCCUCUUGUGCUAAUCUAAUCUGAAGUUUUAUUAUGUCAGCGAAGAAUUUUCAUCCCUUGCUCGUUUUGGAAAUGUGACUUUCUUCUGAAACCAUUCGAGCCCAGAGGAACCACUUGUGCAAGAAGCAGUAAAGCGGAGCACGUCCAUGCUGGAUGACCGCCCUGGACUGUGGGAGGAGCAGUGACACAAUCACCUUUAUCCAGGGGUCUGUGGGAGGAGCCACAGGAGCAGUCAGCAGAGGGGCAUGUCCAGACAGCACAGCCUCCAAGAUUGACUCCAAACAUCACAUCUGACAAACCAUCUUGUACAGGCUGAACUAUCAGCUGAACCAUUUGUAGAAGCUACAGCCUUGCCUGUUCGCCUCCAGCCCAUCCCUCCGAUUACUUCAAAUCAUAGUUACAAAAGUGUCCGCACCAGAGGAAGUGCACACUGCAAAGUAUCAGAGCUACACAAUAGUUCUCUGGACACCACCAAGACCGCAAGUCAGCCCGGCUUUCCAACCUGGCUGCUCCAGAACAAGAUCAGUUUCACCAAACACAGGUUUCUUCUCGCUGCUGCCAUCAGGAAGGUACGGGUGCCUCAGGACCCACACCAUCAGGAUCAGGAACAGUUAUUACCUCUUAACCAACAGGCUCCUGAACCAAAGGGGCUAAUUCCACUCAGCGUCACUCACCCUGUCACUAAGCUAUUCCCACAACUUUACACUAACUUUCAAGGACUCUUCAUCUCAUGUUCUCGACAUUUAUUGUCAAUUUAUUUAUUUAUUUUGUUUCUACUAGUAUUAUUACUAAUCUUUCUUCUGUAUUUGCAGUUUCUUUUCAUUUGCACAUCAACUGUUUGCCCACCCCAUUGGGUGUGAUCUUUCAUUGAUUCUAUGCAUUUCUUGCAUUUACUGUGCAUGCCUACUUUACUAUUCGAUGUGAUUGAAGUGACUGAACUCGAGGUUCGGAUGAUGACUUCGGUUAAAAUGCUCAGACCAUCGGGUCCCAAGGUGAGGGGCAGGCCAUUUCAGCUUGCUGCUCCACUCUGUGCUGAGCUAAGGGUCUGUGGGUGGACUUUCUGUGGAUUUUAGUUCAGAAUGCUAUUUGCCUGCAUUUAUUGUUUGCAUGAUUUGUUUUUUUCUCUCUGCAUAUUGGGUACUUGAUGUUAUUUUCUAUGUUUCUUUUGUGUUUCUUUGUUUUGUGGAUGUCUGUUGGAAGAGAAAUCUCAAGGUGGUAUAAUAUAUACAUUCUUUGAUAAUAAAUCUACUUUAAACUUUCAUUAAAACUGUCUCCCUGCCCUUAAUUCCCCACGUAUGAUCGGAGACAUGCUGGGCCAUUCAGUAAACUAGGACCUGAUUGUAACUCAGCAAGCUAUGACUCCUAGUGUCGCAUUCAAGUGUGAAGUGAGCUUCUGUCUCCACCUACAUCCAAUAUCCAAUAUCCAAGAUGGCGGUGCGACGCAGCUUGCAGCGGCCACUCCAGAGCUGAUUAUCUGCUAUUUGUGAAGUGGGGUGCCGUACGCAAUCAUAAUCGAUUGAAAACAGAUGUGGGAGCACGGAGGAACAUUGGGAAAUCUCCAGGAAGACCUUCUUCAUUGCUGCUGCUGCUGUGAGGUCCGGGACUCUGCUGGGAUGAACAGGCAAUGCCGAUGGCUGCUGGCAGGGCCGUCUUAAUAUGCUUGGCAGAGGAUAGUGCUCGGAGAAGCUGUGCCGGAGGGGAUGGUUGUCAGCUCGGAGGUUCGACGGACUUGGAGUCCGCUGCGGUCAGGUUGCUUUUGGUGUGUGCUGCGUCUGCGAGGCUGGGUUUGACAGAGCUUUCACUGUGUGCUGCGUCUGUGAGGCUGAGUCGGGCGGCGCCGUGGAAGUCCAUAGUGGGGGUAUUCCCUUCUGCUGCUGGCAUGGGAUGACGAGUCUGUCGGGACCCUGGGGACUUGUGGAAACUGUGUGGUGAUUUCUUUUGAACUUAUAGUCCUUUAACAUCUUUGGACUAUUUUUACUGUGCCCACGGUCUGUUUUUUUUAUCAAUUAUGCUAUUGUUUGCACUGUUGUAACUAUGUGGUUUUGUGCAGGUCUUGUAGCUUUAGUUUUUGGUCUUGUUUUGUCUGGUGGAUUUGGAGCUCCUUUCUGGGGAAUGCGCUAAGAUGGUUGCGCAAUAUUAAUACGCAGCAGCCUCUCCGGACUCUGGAUUGGGGAUUGCCAAACAUUAUGUGGAUUUUCUGGUGUAGUCUGUUCUGUCAUAUGCUUCUGUGAUAUCAUUCUGGAGAAACGUUGUCUCAUUUUUUAA